UCUUUAUUUUUCCGGCCAGCAUGUGGUGUUCAGGCAUGAACCUGGGGAUGCUCGUCUGCUCGAAGUCCAACUCCGAUUCUGGCUUUGGAUUUGUCCCAUAGAGGGUGAAAGGCCCGUUCGAGCAGACAUAGUGGAUAUUGAGCAGCCCUCAGAUGUUCGUGCUUUCGAGUCGGAUUGCUUGAGAAUGCAGUCCAAAGCGGGUGGUAAACUCCAUCCAAGGCUAAAUACUGGCACGAGUCCGAUAGUAGACAAGUACCGUGAGGGAAAGUUGAAAAGUACUCUGAAGAGAGAGUAAAUAGUACGUGAAACCGAUUGUAUGGAAGCUGGUGGAGUCAAGCUUCUUGCUUUGGCUAUUGUCGUGGCUAUCACUUUGUUCUUGGGCUAUGGACAUUAUGGCUUGGAAAUAGCUGGUCGGUUCGCCGACUCGGUCAUUCCGGGCAGUGUGAUUGAUUGUGUCCUAUCGUCCGGUAGCUGCGUAUCUGUCAUUGCAAACAUCAAAAUCAAUGCGUUUGUGGUGU
rnacentral:rRNA from 1 species